GACGGAGGAUGCAAGCGUUAUCCGGAAUGAUUGGGCGUAAAGCGUCCGCAGGUGGCAGUUCAAGUCUGCUGUCAAAGACCGGGGCUUAACUUCGGAAAGGCAGUGGAAACUGAACAGCUAGAGUAUGGUAGGGGCAGAGGGAAUUCCUGGUGUAGCGGUGAAAUGCGUAGAGAUCAGGAAGAACACCGGUGGCGAAGGCGGUGGUCUGGGCCGGCACUGACGCUGAGGAGCGAAAGCGUGGGGAGCAAACAGG
rnacentral:rRNA from 1 species